rnacentral:rRNA from 1 species
UACGAAGGGGGCUAGCGUUGCUCGGAAUUACUGGGCGUAAAGGGCGCGUAGGCGGCACUGUUAGUCAGGCGUGAAAGUCCUGGGCUCAACCUGGGAACUGCGCUUGAUACGGCAGAGCUAGAGGAUGGAAGAGGCUCGCGGAAUUCCCAGUGUAGAGGUGAAAUUCGUAGAUAUCGGGAGGAACACCGGUGGCGAAGGCGGCGAUCUGGGUCGAUACUGACGCUGAGGUGCGAAAAGCGUGGGGAGCAAACAGGG